rnacentral:rRNA from 1 species
AACGAACGCUGGCGGCAGGCCUAACACAUGCAAGUCGAACGUGAAGCCACCUUCGGGUGGUGGAAAGUGGCAGACGGGUGAGUAACGCGUGGGAACGUGCCUUUCGGUUCGGAAUAACCCAGAGAAACUUGGGCUAAUACCGGAUACGCCCUUCGGGAGAAAGAUCCAUCGCCGAAAGAUCGGCCCGCGUCGGAUUAGCUAGUUGGUAGGGUAAUGGCCUACCAAGGCGACGAUCCGUAGCUGGUCUGAGAGGAUGACCAGCCACACUGGGACUGAGACACGGCCCAGACUCCUACGGGAGGCAGCAGUGGGGAAUAUUGGACAAUGGGCGAAAGCCUGAUCCAGCCAUGCCGCGUGGGUGAAGAAGGCCCUAGGGUUGUAAACCCCUUUCAGCGGGGAAGAUAAUGACGGUACCCGCAGAAGAAGCCCCGGCUAACUCCGUGCCAGCCGCCGCCGUAACAC